rnacentral:lncRNA from 1 species
UUAAACAUUAGCCAUUAAAAGCUUUCUAAUUUAAGCAGCCGGCGUUAAUUAGCCCUGCUUGCUCGGCGUCAUGUUUUCCAUGAGCCUCCCUCAGCAGUUCCAGCUGCCCCUGGUGCUCGGUAACACUUUCACUGCUGGGCACCAGCCUUCCCCUCCUGGCUGCCAAGUGGAGAAAGCAGCAGGAGCUCAACACCUUUAUCUCCAGGAGCAUCAGCAGCCUGCUGGAAACAUCUCCCUUUACAGCUCAGCUGAGGAGCAUCCAGUGGGAUCAGGAUGACAUCAGCAGAGCCAGCGCUGUCGGCCACAAACUCAUUCAUCUUCCCUGCGGCUCUCAGAGAGUGCCGUAAUUAUUUAGCUUCUUAAACCCUUCACACUCUUACAGCUCUCAUAAAGUAGUUAUUCAGCUCUUGAUAUUUUCUCCCCCAGCUGUGAUGAUUUAAUCUAGCCUGGGGUUUGAAAGGCUCGGCCAGGAAAAUCCCAGAGCGCAACACAGCUCAUUUAUAAGGCUCAGCAUUUCUGCAGUACCCAGCCCGAGCUGGGCUCUCCAUCUGCCUUAUCUAAACACUGCCAUCACACUGCAUUUAGGCUUUCAUGGUAACUUAAACCACCACACAGAGCUCAGGGAAACUCCCACAUCUGGCCUGGAAAUAUCAUCCUGUAUUUUAAACAUUUGGUGGCACAGCUCGGUAUUAAUUCAGGUAGAGCACAUUUGUUUGGGGAGGUUUGGUUCUCCUGCCAGCAAGGGGGAAACACUGUGGUCUCUUCACCACAGAAGUUCUCCCAAAAAAAAUUAAAACAAAAGAUUAGUUCAGUUCCCUAACUAUAUAAAUCACAGCUUUUUAUAAGCAUCACAAAGUUAUUCUGAGGUGGUUAUAACACAGGUGAAAUUCCCUUUCUUUCCCAGUGAUGACCAAAACCCCAAAAUAACUCAGCCAUGCAGCAGUGCCAUUUCACUGCAGAGCCAAGCCCUCUGAAUUCCACAGCCAGGAAAUCCUCAUGAUUAAGAUGCCUCUUUGAGACAUUAAAUAACCAAUAUAGUUUAUGCUGCGUAUUAAUGGUCAACAAGAAGAAUUUUAAAGUUUAAAUUUCACACAGAAAUUGCGAGUACAAACUCCUCUCACUACAUAUAUUUGCUGUUGCUGAGCUAACAUUGAAAGACACGUACUAACUUUUUAAAUUUCCUGACUUUUAUGAUUGCUCAAUUUUGCAACCUGAACAUUAUUUUGAAAGUAGGAUUGUGUAAAAUUUUCCUCAAGGGACUCAGAGAGCUCUGUGCU